rnacentral:rRNA from 1 species
UACGGGGGGGGGCAAGCGUUGUUCGGAAUUACUGGGCGUAAAGGGCUUGUAGGUGGCCAACUAAGUCAGACGUGAAAUCCCUCAGCUUAACUGGGGAACUGCUUCUGAUACGGGAUGGCUUGAGUUUGGGAGAGGGAUGCGGAAUUCCAGGUGUAGCGGUGAAAUGCGUAGAUAUCUGGAGGAACACCGGUGGCGAAGGCGGCAUCCUGGACCAACACUGACGCUGAGGAGCGAAAGCGUGGGGAGCAAACAGG